rnacentral:lncRNA from 10 species
GGCAGAUUCUUGCUCUGUCGUUAACUGAGCUGGGACACUCUUCCUUUUCUGCCCUUAAAUGCCAGAAAUCUGAGCUUUCUGGCUUUUUUUGGACUACAGGCCUCACACCAGCAGUUCCCAGGCUUUGGACUGAGUUACACCAUCAGCUUCGUUGGUUCUAUGGCCACCUAUCAUGGAACUUCUCAGUCUCCAUAAUCAAACAUUUAUUGAGAACUACCCCAUACCAAGCAUUGUGCCAGAGCUGGAGUUACAGUGUUGAAUACAGUAGAUAUGAUCUGUAAUCUCAUUCUGACAAAGGAAUAAAUAAGUUUACAAGCAACUUUUAAAAACAUUUACAAAUUGUGAAUGAAACAAGAUACUGAGAAAAGAUCACCUGGAAGAGUGAUGAGAUGGUCAGGGCAAUGGGUAAAUUGUACAGAGAAAGCCAAAAGAUGGAGUCAAAAUUCCCACUAAGGAGUCAAGCCUGGAUAGCUGAACAGAUGGAGGCAUCAACAGAAACAAAGAUGAGCCAAUUUGAGAGAGGACCUGACAGAUAGUGAUCUACCCUCAGAUGUAUUAAAUCAGAGACACUUGUAGAAAUGUUCGACAAAUAAUUGGAAAUGUUGGCCUACUUUUAGAGAAAAGUCAGGAUUUUGGAUACAAAUCAGAGUGUCUACCACUUAAAGACAUGAAAUUAUAUUUCUUCAUCAAGCAGAGAGAAAGGGACCAUGAGCAGAACACUAAAGAAUGUGCAAUCUGGUGGGGUAAGAGCAAAAGAAGACAAUGAAGGAAAGGAAGCCAUAAAAGAGGGAGAAAGGGUUAGUUGAGAUGGUCCUCUGCCACAUACUGAGAAAAAAGAUAUCAAUAAUGAACAUCAACAAUUGUACAUUUUUACAGUGUUCAAGGGCAAUGAGAUAAGAAAAAUAUUUUUGAGUCAUUGAUAGAAGGUAUUGAGAAAUAUUGAGGGAGCAUUUUCUGUAAAAUUAUGGGUGGGCCAGUUCACAGAGAGGAAGCACGGCUCAAUUCAUAGAUAGGAAGCCCCAGAUUCUCUGGAACACUCCCAAUUAUAGUUUAUUUUAUCCCAUUACACACCAUAUGUGUUUUGGUUCUCCACUUGAAACUGUGGUAACCUAAUGGUAAAUAGAUGGAAACAAUGCUGUUAAAGCUUUCAAGAUGCUUGUCAAGGGAAGGAAAGUGAGCAAUAAGUACUUAUAACUUGAAGGGGAAUCAAAAGAAGGCAUUUUUUGGAGUAGAGCGUCCUGUGCACAACUGCAAGCAGUAUGGAAGUGAGCAGCUGUCAAAAGCAGGAGAAUGAAGAUUUGACAAACAAAAAGAGAUUUAUUAAUGGCACUUGGUUCCAGAAAAAGGCAGAAGUUGGGAUCAAUGGAACAAGAUGGAAAAAGGUGAGGCACUUCUUUUAAAUAGUAGUAAGUAAACAAUAGAUAAAUAUGGAGACAUUCUUGAGAAGAGAGGAGUAAAGUAGAGUAGGGAGUGAUGCUAGAAUAUAAAGUCAGUAAAAUAUAAGCUCCAGGAGAUCAGAAGUAUUUGAUUAUUCUGUGUGACUAGUUUUUAAUAAAUAUCAGCAGAAUAAAUUCUGUGCAGUCAGCCCUACCAGGUAAAGAAGGAAGUGUGCUGAUCUCAAGGUAAGGAGCUGGCAAGGAUGUUGCAGGAGUCAUGCAGAGGCCUAAAGAAGGGGACUUGGGAAAGCUCAGCGGUAUGUGAUGCAGAGUCAAAAUGAGGCAGAUAAGAUAAUGCUAGAUGAUGUUCCUCAUAAGUGAGGGCUCAGCUGAGAUUAUUGCAACAAUCUGUUCUUUAACUCCUGCAACUCUUUACUCAAACACCACAUUCUCAGUGAGGCCUUCCCUGGUCAUUCUAUCAAUACCUAAAACUGCAACUCCUUCUCCACCAGCCUCACCUCUUAUUGCUGUUCCCUGCCUUAUUCUCCUUCUCAGUACUCACCACUCUCUGUCAUGCUAUAGGUUUCACUUUGUUGUAUUGCUGUCUGCCUCCCGCUACUAGAAUUUAAACUACGGCAGGCAUCUAUUGUUUGUUUGUUCACUACUCCCUGUCUGCAGUGCCUAGAACAAGGCACCUUCAAUGCAGGGCUGCCUCUGCAUGAGAUUGAGACACCAAAGUUAAAUGACUUUCUUCAAUAACAGUGAGUCAUUUGUACAAAGAAGCAGAAGGGAAAAAAUAGAUGAUGGAGGAGGUCCAGAGUGAACAGUGGGUGAAAUCCAAGAGAGAGAGAUCCUAGAAUGCUAACAGCUAGAAAAACGUGAGGUAAUUGGGACUCAGUGAGGUGAAAUGAUAAUGCAUAGCAUGACUGCCAUCCUGCCAAUGGCAGCCACGAAUACCACCUCCCUCUUACGCUGGCUGGGGCAGGAGGUGGAGAGGUGGGGGGUGUUGAGCUACAUGCUCUGUGUAAACAAUGUUGCCUGGCACAUAGUCAAGUGUUGAGUAAUUGUUAGCUGGUGUGAGGGGUUUUUUUAAAUAUAUUUUUCACAUUGCUCUGGCCCAGAGCCACUGAGGCUAAGGGAACUUCAUCACUCCUAAAUCCAUUUCACACUACUAGCUAGUCAGGGUAUGGGCCUAAAGAUGAGAGGAAAAUCCUCAUCUCCUCACUGGUGGGAAAGUAUCAAGCACAGACAUGUUGCCGUCUGGAAAACCUAGAUUUGUCAAGAUAGAAUUAAGUCAUCUAACUUUGGCUGAGCAAUGCCAUCCUGAUCAAUAUCUUUCCUACAAGUGAUGGAACAUUGCCGUGCUCUUUUGUGCCAUGCCACUGCAGAUGCAUUCCAAUAGCAGCCAAAGCUAACCCCAAGAUCUUGUUGGGCCCACUUAGCCUUUCUCCAUAUCAUGUUUAUGUUAUUGUAUUAUUGGCCUAUAACCGAAGCCAUGCUCUUUUGCCCCUUUAGAAUAAUCUCAUCUUGGCAGGAGAAGAAAUAGAAUUAUUUUUUCCAAUUUAAAGAUCAUUUUAAGUAUCAAUCUGACAACCCAACUCCAUAUGCAUUGGCUUCAAAUAUAGAGUAUGUAUCAUCGUCCUUAUCAUCCACUGAACUGUUUGAGUGAAUUAAGAGAAGAGGUGCUACAGAUGGGAAAGCCAAGCAUCAGCAAGGCUAAAUCAUUAGUCCAGGGUCCUAUAACUUGUAAAUGAUGUGAGCCAUAUCACUGUGACCCCAAAGCCAAACACUGCCCGGAUUUAAGAUAGAUGACUUCACUGGAGUUUUUCAUUUCUGAUUCCUCAGAAAGAGAUUAUGGCACAACAAGUUCCCAGAAAGUGAUUAAACACAUUUUCUUCAAAAAUCUAAGAGAAAUUUUUUCCAGGUUUAUGAACAAUAUCUAAUGUCAUUUUACUUCUGCAUUCAAAUUUUGAAAUGUCUUAUUUGUUAGUUAAAAUAAAAUAUAUUUCUGCACUAAAUAUGUCUGACCAGGAGUUAAUCCUCUUCAGGUAAGGACUGUGUUUUCAGCAGAUGUUUAAGAAAAAAACACGAAUCAUCUUGAAGCUGUUUAAUUCUGGGGUUUUUGGCAUAUAUUUUAAGCUGUGUAUGUGUGUGAUGUGACUUUGAAAAGCAGCUAUAGAAAGAAGCUAUGACAUGGUUGUUGGAAGUUGUUCUCUUUCACACAGACACAUACACACACACACACACACACACAAAUCAUGUUUCUUCAUUCCACAGAUGUGACAUAUUUUGAUCUACAUAAAUGGAACUGAAUUGAAAAAAAAGAAGGACAUCGUGAUAUAGAAACUGCCUUUUGUCCUACCUGAGAAUUUUAUCAUAAAAAUGCAAAACUUAUCAUCAUCAUCAUUUGUUAGCCAUUCAUAACGUACAAGAUUCUGGGCAUUGCAGACUGUUAUAAAAAUGUAAGAAUAUAGUCUUCUAUUUUAAAAAGACUAAAGGAAAACAAAUUAAAAUAUGCAGGAAUCAAUGCAUGCAUUUCCAUCCAUGCAAUUUUUCUUUAGUCUCCCAAGAAACAGUUUUAUGAACUAUUUCUGAGUGGCAGAUUCCCACCUAUAGUCGUUAUCUUUUGCUACAUAACAAAUUGCCCUCAAACUUAGUGGCUUAAAACAACACACAUUUAUUAUCUCAGUUGUAUGGGGCAGGGAUUCAGAAGCACCUUAGCUGGGUGGUUCUGGCUCAGGAUCUUUCAUGAAGUUACAAACAAGUUGCUGGCAGGGACUGCAGUCAGCCAGCGUUCACUGGAGCGGGAGCAUCCACUUCUGAGCUUACUCAUGUGUGUGUUGGCAGAAGCUUCACCUUUCACUAGCUGUUGGCUAAAGGCCUCAGUUCUUUGCCACCUGGGCCUCUCCAUAAGGCUGCUUGGGUAUCCUAAGGACAUGGCAGUUGUCUUCCCCCAAGGUGGGUAAACAGACAGUGAGUAAAACAGAGAGAAUAAGGAAAAAACUACAAUGUCUUUUACAGCCCACACUCACGGGAAGGGGAAUUAGGUUCCACAUUUUGAAGAGAGGAGUAUCAGAGAAUUUGUGGGCAUCUUUCAAAACCACCACACCUCCUAAGCACAUUUCUCUGCUCUUUCCCUAGUUCUUUCUCAGAACUCUGUAAAGCAUUGGACUUACAGGACAAUCAUAAUCACAGUUAUACCUAAAUGCACUUAUUUCAGUAUCUACUAUGUGUCAGGUACCAUUCAACACACAUAAAUGAAACAAAAAAGUCCUUGCUCUUAUAAAUAUAGUAAGAGAUUGACAGUAAACUGAUAAAUAUAAUAUGGUUGUGAUAACUGCUAUGUAAAAAAACAGACUAAGAAGUUAGAAAAGUGUGAGUGCUUAAAUAGCUGAAAAUACUUCAUAUCAGCGUAUCACAUAUUAUGUGGAUACACUGCUUCUCAGCCUUGAGAAUUCAAAUGACCUUAAUCUGCAAAAACCAUUAUCUUUGUCCUUGACCACAUGCUUUUUCUUCUUCCCUAACAUUUAUGCAAAACCCAGCAGCAAGACUUGCUUCUGUGUUCUUUCUCAGCUUUGCCAGGACUUCACUGUAUAUGCCAAGUCUUAAAAAAUAACCAGAAAUCAUCUGUCAGCUCCUCUUCAAACAGCCAUUUCUUUUUUCUUUUGUGGCUGGCUCUCUUCCAUGAAAACUUGGCAUGUAGUGCCUCCCCUUCUGGAAAAUCGCAUGUUGUCCUGAAGCAAGGAUCUACGGUCUUACCUGCUCUCUACCUGAGUCAUAUCAGAAACCAAACCCUCUCCACUCCCAGGAAUCGGAAAACCAUUCUUUCUGUUGGUAGUUGCCACCUUGGCUCUCAGUGCCCCACUACCAGUUUAUCUAUCUUGGCCCAUCAUAACAGGAGCAUCAGUUUCCACAACCCAACCAGGACUCCAACAUCUGUCUAAAAAAUGUAUAAUAAAAACAACACACAAACCCCCCAAACACCAAAUAAUACAAAUCGUCUUCACAUCAUAUAAUCGGGAGUUGUCAGGUUUUUACCUGUUUCUGGUACGUAUCACUAUUUGCACUUCUCACAAUUCUUGUAUUUGCUAAACCAUGAGUUUAGGGAAGAUUCCAAUUGGGAGAAAACUAAUUACUUUUAAUUGUUGAUUUUAAAUAUUGUGCUAUAAUUGAAAUUUUAUUUCCAAAUAAAGGUUAAUUUUCUAAAAAGA